CCAGCCUCACCCACUCCAGCAAGCCUCCCUGACCUCUCCCACGAGCUCCAGAAGCUCUCCUCGCCUCUGUUGGCCAUCAUGGCCGCCACGGUGCUCCGGCUAAAUUCGCUCGCAGUCGAGCCCCUCCCCUCCUUCUACCACCACCAGAGACCCACCUAGUCCCCCGCGAACCUCCCCCACCUCUCCACGAGUCGCCAGAGCCACUAUGGCCUCGAGUCCCAUCGCCACCCGUAGCCUCUUCCGCCGUGACCCGUGCCAUCGUCAUUCUGCUCCUUCUCGGCGUCCGUGCAGUGCGGGGAUGGACGCGGCACUCUUCCCCGAGCUCGUCGGUGCUCGGAGCGUCGGCAACGGUGGCCGGAGUCGCCGGGGCUCGUCGCCGGAGCCGCGCCCCUGCUCUGCUCCGUCGGGCACGCGCGAGGAGGAAGAAAGAGCCAGGCCAGGCGGGCCCCCUCCUUUCCCCGACCCCACCUGGCAGCCACUCAGGCCCGGCCCCGCCCCUGCAUGCGUUGACCCGGGCGGCCAGCAUGGAUAAGUGACGGGCCCCACCCCGUGGGACCCACACGUCAGCGACCCCAGCCCCGGACCCGCGCGCGCUGAAGUGGAAGCGUACUUCAGAAAGUACGUUUUCGCGUGAACUCAGGGGCCUGUUUGUAGAGUUAUUUUUAUAGAUUGGUCCCUGAACUUCGUCGGGCUAUAACUUUUUGCUCGCAACUCCGUUUGAGAUUGCAGGUGCUGCCGUGAUUGCUUGAUUGUUUGUUGAGGUG